rnacentral:lncRNA from 1 species
UGGCGCUGUCUCUGCCAAGCCCUUCCCUUUCUGGCCCACGAGCCCUCUGUCUGGCCGCCAGCCUGGGCUUUCUCCAGCUGAUUUGUAGAUAAAAUCUCUGACAGUGGAUCUUUUACCCAAGAAUUGCUUAAGAUGUUCUUCAGAUCCUCAAUUUCAGCAGAAUGGCUGACACCAACUGGCAUGGGUGAGCCCAGAGAGAGGCUGGGAAUUAAAAAAAAGUUUACUUAGAGAACAAGCAGUUGCCAGUGAAACGUUGGUGCACUGUAGACUUCAGACAUAAAAACAGCAGCCAUCACUGACUUCUGGCAAAUUCAAGUAAAACAACAAACAUCGAAACUUCCAGACAUUCUGUUGGGGGAAGUUGCCAAAGACGUUGGCUGCCAUAGUCAGCUUUACCAUCUUCGAUAAGAAAAUACUCCUCUUCACCAUAUACAAGAAUUUAUUAAGUACCUGCUUUGCCUACACCAUUUUGCACUUAGUAUGUUUUCGUUACAUAUUUGAUAGGAAUGAGAGAAAGGGCACAGGUGGGCCCCUCAGAACAGAGCAUUUAAUUGAGUACAUUCGGAGCAUAUUUUGAGUAUGAACCUCCCUAACAACACACCUUUUAACAGUGAUUCAGGGGAAAGAUUCAGCUUUUGUGGGGUCUGAAGUUUGUACAGUUUCAAGAGCCC